rnacentral:rRNA from 1 species
GGUUAAGCGACUAAGCGUACACGGUGGAUGCCCUGGCAGUCAGAGGCGAUGAAGGACGUGCUAAUCUGCGAAAAGCGUCGGUAAGGUGAUAUGAACCGUUAUAACCGGCGAUGUCCGAAUGGGGAAACCCAGUGCAAUUCGUUGCACUAUCGUUAACUGAAUACAUAGGUUAACGAGGCGAACCGGGGGAACUGAAACAUCUAAGUACCCCGAGGAAAAGAAAUCAACCGAGAUUCCCCCAGUAGCGGCGAGCGAACGGGGAGCAGCCCAGAGUCUGAAUCAGCUUGUGUGUUAGUGGAACGGUCUGGAAAGUCCGACGGUACAGGGUGAUAGUCCCGUACACCAAAAUGCACAGGCUGUGAACUCGAAGAGUAGGGCGGGACACGUGGUAUCCUGUCUGAAUAUGGGGGGACCAUCCUCCAAGGCUAAAUACUCCUGACUGACCGAUAGUGAACCAGUACCGUGAGGGAAAGGCGAAAAGAACCCCGGCGAGGGGAGUGAAAAAGAACCUGAAACCGUGUACGUACAAGCAGUGGGAGCACCUUCGGGUGUGACUGCGUACCUUUUGUAUAAUGGGUCAGCGACUUAUAUUCUGUAGCAAGGUUAACCGUAUAGGGGAGCCGCAGGGAAACCGAGUCUUAACUGGGCGUUAAGUUGCAGGGUAUAGACCCGAAACCCGGUGAUCUAGCCAUGGGCAGGUUGAAGGUUGGGUAACACUAACUGGAGGACCGAACCGACUAAUGUUGAAAAAUUAGCGGAUGACUUGUGGCUGGGGGUGAAAGGCCAAUCAAACCGGGAGAUAGCUGGUUCUCCCCGAAAGCUAUUUAGGUAGCGCCUCGUGAAUUCAUCUUCGGGGGUAGAGCACUGUUUCGGCUAGGGGGUCAUCCCGACUUACCAACCCGAUGCAAACUACGAAUACCGAAGAAUGUUAUCACGGGAGACACACGGCGGGUGCUAACGUCCGUCGUGAAGAGGGAAACAACCCAGACCGCCAGCUAAGGUCCCAAAGUCAUGGUUAAGUGGGAAACGAUGUGGGAAGGCACAGACAGCCAGGAUGUUGGCUUAGAAGCAGCCAUCAUUUAAAGAAAGCGUAAUAGCUCACUGGUCGAGUCGGCCUGCGCGGAAGAUGUAACGGGGCUAAACCAUGCACCGAAGCUGCGGCAGCGACACUAUGUGUUGUUGGGUAGGGGAGCGUUCUGUAAGCCUGCGAAGGUGACCUGUGAGGGUUGCUGGAGGUAUCAGAAGUGCGAAUGCUGACAUAAGUAACGAUAAAGCGGGUGAAAAGCCCGCUCGCCGGAAGACCAAGGGUUCCUGUCCAACGUUAAUCGGGGCAGGGUGAGUCGACCCCUAAGGCGAGGCCGAAAGGCGUAGUCGAUGGGAAACAGGUUAAUAUUCCUGUACUUGGUGUUACUGCGAAGGGGGGACGGAGAAGGCUAUGUUAGCCGGGCGACGGUUGUCCCGGUUUAAGCAUGUAGGCUGAUUGUCCAGGCAAAUCCGGAUAAUCAAGGCUGAGGUGUGAUGACGAGGCACUACGGUGCUGAAGUAACAAAUGCCCUGCUUCCAGGAAAAGCCUCUAAGCAUCAGGUAACAUCAAAUCGUACCCCAAACCGACACAGGUGGUCAGGUAGAGAAUACCAAGGCGCUUGAGAGAACUCGGGUGAAGGAACUAGGCAAAAUGGUGCCGUAACUUCGGGAGAAGGCACGCUGGUGUGUAGGUGAAGCCCCUGCGGGUGGAGCUGAGACCAGUCGAAGAUACCAGCUGGCUGCAACUGUUUAUUAAAAACACAGCACUGUGCAAACACGAAAGUGGACGUAUACGGUGUGACGCCUGCCCGGUGCCGGAAGGUUAAUUGAUGGGGUUAUCCGUAAGGAGAAGCUCUUGAUCGAAGCCCCGGUAAACGGCGGCCGUAACUAUAACGGUCCUAAGGUAGCGAAAUUCCUUGUCGGGUAAGUUCCGACCUGCACGAAUGGCGUAAUGAUGGCCAGGCUGUCUCCACCCGAGACUCAGUGAAAUUGAACUCGCUGUGAAGAUGCAGUGUACCCGCGGCAAGACGGAAAGACCCCGUGAACCUUUACUAUAGCUUGACACUGAACAUUGAGCCUUGAUGUGUAGGAUAGGUGGGAGGCUUUGAAGCGUGGACGCCAGUCUGCGUGGAGCCAACCUUGAAAUACCACCCUUUAAUGUUUGAUGUUCUAACGUUGGCCCCUUACCGGGGUUGCGGACAGUGUCUGGUGGGUAGUUUGACUGGGGCGGUCUCCUCCCAAAGCGUAACGGAGGAGCACGAAGGUUAGCUAAUCCUGGUCGGACAUCAGGAGGUUAGUGCAAUGGCAUAAGCUAGCUUGACUGCGAGCGUGACGGCGCGAGCAGGUGCGAAAGCAGGUCAUAGUGAUCCGGUGGUUCUGAAUGGAAGGGCCAUCGCUCAACGGAUAAAAGGUACUCCGGGGAUAACAGGCUGAUACCGCCCAAGAGUUCAUAUCGACGGCGGUGUUUGGCACCUCGAUGUCGGCUCAUCACAUCCUGGGGCUGAAGUAGGUCCCAAGGGUAUGGCUGUUCGCCAUUUAAAGUGGUACGCGAGCUGGGUUUAGAACGUCGUGAGACAGUUCGGUCCCUAUCUGCCGUGGGCGCUGGAGAAUUGAGGGGGGCUGCUCCUAGUACGAGAGGACCGGAGUGGACGCAUCACUGGUGUUCGGGUUGUCAUGCCAAUGGCACUGCCCGGUAGCUAAAUGCGGAAGAGAUAAGUGCUGAAAGCAUCUAAGCACGAAACUUGCCCCGAGAUGAGUUCUCCCUGAGACUUUAAGUCUCCUGAAGGAACGUUGAAGACGACGACGUUGAUAGGCCGGGUGUGUAAGCGCAGCGAUGCGUUGAGCUAACCGGUACUAAUGAACCGUGAGGCUUAACCUU